UGACUAGCUCCUUAUCAUGCCAUUCAGUAUAGGUGGAACUCUUGAUAGUCUGCUCACUUUCACUAUAGCUCAGACUAUCAGAGUCUCCAUUCCUGUAAUGUUUGGUGCUAUUCCACUGUCUGUGGC
rnacentral:precursor_RNA from 13 species